UCGAGAAUCUUCGGCAAUGGGCGCAAGCCUGACCGAGCGACGCCACGUGCGGGAUGAAGGCCUUCGGGUUGUAAACCGCUGUCAGAGGGGAGGAAAUGCGUGGUAGGUAUCUUCCAUGUUUGACCUAUCCACAGAGGAAGUACGGGCUAAGUUCGUGCCAGCAGCCGCGGUAAUACGAACCGUACGAACGUUAUUCGGAGUCACUGGGCUUAAAGCGUGCGUAGGCGGCUGGGAAAGUUGGGUGUGAAAGCCCUCGGCUCAACCGAGGAAUUGCGCUCAAAACUACCUGGCUUGAGGGAGAUAGAGGUGAACGGAACUGAUGGUGGAGCGGUGAAAUGCGUUGAUAUCAUCAGGAACACCUGUGGCGAAAGCAGCUCACUGGGUCUUUUCUGACGCUGAGGCACGAAAGCUAGGGGAGCGAACGG
rnacentral:rRNA from 1 species